rnacentral:rRNA from 1 species
CCUACGGGAGGCAGCAGUGGGGAAUAUUGCACAAUGGGCGAAAGCCUGACGCAGCGACGCCGCGUGAGGGAUGAAGGUCUUCGGAUCGUAAACCUCUGUCAGCGGGGAAGAACGGUCACUGUGCUAAUCAGCAGUGAUUUGACGGUACCUGCAAAGGAAGCACCGGCUAACUCCGUGCCAGCAGCCGCGGUAAUACGGAGGGUGCGAGCGUUAAUCGGAAUUACUGGGCGUAAAGCGCUCGUAGGCGGUAUGUCAAGUCACAGGUGAAAUCCCCGCGCUCAACGUGGGAACUGCAUUUGAUACUGGCAAACUGGAGUGUCGGAGAGGAGAGUGGAAGUCCAGGUGUAGGAGUGAAAUUCGUAGAGAUCUGGAGGAACAUCAGUGGCGAAGGCGACUAUCUGGAAGAUAACUGACGCUGAGGAGCGAAAGCGUGGGUAGCAAACAGGAUUAGAUACCCGUGUAGUC